GCCUCUGUAGCUCCGUUGGUUGGAGCGCUGCACCAGAAUCCCAGGACCGCAGGCUCGACUCCUGCCAGAGGGC